GAGGGUAUAGCUCAAGUGGUAGAGCACAUGCUUAGCAUAAACAAGGUCCUGGGUUCAAUCCCCAGUACCUCCU
rfam:Camelus ferus unplaced genomic scaffold scaffold304, whole genome shotgun sequence.